rnacentral:rRNA from 1 species
CCUACGGGCGGCAGCAGUGAGGAAUAUUGGUCAAUGGACGGACGUCUGAACCAGCCAUGCCGCGUGCAGGAAGACGGCUCUAUGAGUUGUAAACUGCUUUUGUACAAGGGUAAACCUGAAUACGUGUAUUCAGCUGAAAGUACUGUACGAAUAAGGAUCGGCUAACUCCGUGCCAGCAGCCGCGGUAAUACGGAGGAUCCAAGCGUUAUCCGGAUUUAUUGGGGUUAAAGGGUGCGUAGGCGGAUUGAUAAGUUAGAGGUGAAAUGUCCGAGCUUAACUCGGGAACUGCCUCUAAUACUGUUGUUCUAGAGAGUAGGUGCGGUAGGCGGAAUGUAUGGUGUAGCGGUGAAAUGCUUAGAGAUCAUACAGAACACCGAUUGCGAAGGCAGCUUACCAAUCUAUAUCUGACGUUGAGGCACGAAAGCGUGGGGAGCAAACAGGAUUAGAUACCCCUGUAGUC